rnacentral:misc_RNA from 1 species
AUUGCUCAAAUUUCGAUUUGGUAGAGAUUGUGUUUAUCUGCGUUGCGUUCACUUUUCUUUUGAUCGUGCUGACUCAAGCGAAUCGUAUAAUUUCGUCUGGAUUCAUAGAUUUCUCUUAAAGAAUAUGUAGUGUUAAAAUCAACGGAGGAGAAAUAUCAGAAAUAAUUUGAAAAAAAAAUAACAAUGUCAAUGUAACGUUUAACAUCAGCUAUGAGCUGAUUUUAGAAAAUCCUGAUUUGAAAAUUAUUAAAAAAAAAAACAAGAUACCCGUGUUUACCCUUGAAGAUAUGACUCUUGAAGAAAGAUAAUUUGAUAAAUAUGUGAAACUAACAUGCAUUAACGAAACAAACAGAAUUGCAACACCAAAACAAUGUAACUCAUCUUGCAGUUGUUAUAUAACUAUAAUUUGAAAAUUACGAAGUUAAUGACGGUCGACGCAAUUUUUUAAUAAGCGUUUGGUAACUACAAGCGUAAUAGUUCACAUACAAUGCUCUAACGUUUCACGCUCAAAAUAAACUUUCAUUUUAUUUGUGUUAAUAAUGACCUUAUUGAUAAAUGUUUUUUCGCGAUAAGGUUCAUUGAAGACUGUUAUUUAUAUAUCUUUUUAUAUAAAAUGUAAUUUCAUUUAUAUAAACAAAAAUAACAUU